rnacentral:rRNA from 1 species
CCCUUAGAUGUUCUGGGCCGCACGCGCGCUACACUGAUGCAUUCAACGAGUUUCUUCCUGGUCCGAGAGGAAUGGGUAACCUUUUGAAAGUGCAUCGUGAUAGGGAUAGACUAUUGCAAUUAUUGGUCUCCAACGAGGAAUUCCUAGUAGACGUAGUUCAUCAGACUGCAUCGAUUACGUCCCUGCCCUUUGUACACACCGCCCGUCGCUCCUACCGAUUGAAUGCUCAGGUGAGCCAUUCGGACUUUCAUCAUGCUGGUUUCCAGUUUUGAUGAAGGAAAGUCUUGCGAACCUUAUCAUUUAGAGGAAGGAGAAGUCGUAACA